rnacentral:rRNA from 1 species
AUGGCAAUGGACGACGUCGCCUUCGCCGCGGGCUCCUCCUCGUCAGCCAUGGACGCGCUCGCCGCCUCCUCCUCCGCCGCCCCCGCCGACCCCUCGCACGGCUGGCAGAAGGUCACCUACGCCAAGCGCAGCAGCCGCAAGCCCGCCGCCGUGGCCCCGGCCGCGGCCGCGGCGCCCGAUCUGGGCAAGCCCGGCGUCUUCGAGGGCCUCGACAAGCGCUCGCAGGAGCGCCACCGCGCGAUCCAGGCCGCCCGGGACGCCGCGGCCGGCUACGACUCCGACGACGCCAACGCCCGCGUCCCCUGGGGCUCCCGCUCCUCCGACGAGGGCUCCGACUCGGACGGGGCGGCCAAGGACCGCCCCCAGGCCGAGGCGCCCAAGAAGCCCAAGAAGCCCAAGGUGAAGAAACCCAAGGUCACGGUCGCCGACGCCGCCGCGCUCAUCGACGCCGAGAACCUCGCCGCCCACCUCGUCGACAUCUCGGCCUCGUAUGAGAACCAGGAGGGCAUCCAGCUCAUGCGCUUCGCGGACUACUUUGGCAGGGCGUUUGCCAACGUGAGCGCGGCCCAGUUCCCGUGGGCGAAGAUGUUCAAGGAGUCACCCAUGCCCAAGAUGGUUGAUGUACCCUUGUCCCAUGUUCCUGAGCCAGUUUGCAAGACUGCAAGUGAUUGGAUCACCCAGAGAUCUCCUGAUGCAUUGGGAGAAUUUGUUUUGUGGUGUAUAGAUAGCAUCAUGUCUGAAUUGUCAGGUCCAACUGUGGGACCUAAGGGCUCGAAGAAGGUUGUUCAACAAACUCCAAAAGCCCAGGUUGCAAUAUUCGUUGUGCUUGCCUUGACUUUAAGAAGGAAGCUAGAUGUAUUAAUAAACCUCUCCCCAAAACUAGUGAGGAACAGUAAAUAUCUUGGACAGGAAAAGCUUCCCAUCAUCGCCUGGGUUAUUAAUCAGGCAUCUCAAGGCGACCUAGUCUCGGGAAUGUUUUGCUGGUCGCAUUCCCUAUUUCCCACAGUGUGUGCAAAGUCAAGUGUGAACCCGCAGUCAAGAGAUCUUGUUUUGCAGUUGCUCGAGAGGUUUGUGUCUACCCCUAAUGCCUCCAAAGCUCGGGCUAUGCUACUGAAUGGCGCCGUUAGAAAGGGGGAGCGCCUGGUUCCUGCUGGAACGCUUGAUCUCUUUAUGAGAUGCACAUUUCCCGUGCCUAAUGCACGUGUCAAGGCUACAGAAAGGUUUGAGGCAGCCUAUCCAAUAAUAAAGGAGCUGGCUCUUGUUGGUACUCCUGGCUCCAAAGCUGUGAAGCAAGCAUCACAGCAGCUUCUGCCGUUGGCUGUGAAGGGAAUGCAAGAAAAUAAUGCAGAGCUCGCCAAGGAGGCCACUGAUGUGUUCAUUUGGUGCCUGACUCAGAGUCCAGAGUCCUACAAGCUGUGGGACAAGCUUCAUGCAGAGAAUAUCCAAGCCAGUGUUGCGGUCUUGCGCAAAAUCACUGCUGACUGGAAGACACUCUCUCCCAAGCUCAACUCUGAAGCUCUUAAAGCAACUCUGAAGAGCCUCAAGGCUAAGAAUGAGGCGGCUCUGGAGGAAGCUGAGGACUCUGGCGAGAAGGCAUCCAUCAAGGAAGCAGACAAGUACUGCAAGGCCAUCAUCGGGAGGCUGUCGCGCGGUGCCACCUGCCUGAAGGGCAGCCUGCUGGUGAUUGCGCUCGCAGCCGGGGCCGGCUUCAUGCUCUCCCCCAACCUGGACCUCACCGCCGACCUCGAGAAGCUCCAGGCGAUGGCGUCGGAGCUCCAGGCCGUGGCGUCGGAGUACCUGCGGUCCUUCUGA